rnacentral:rRNA from 1 species
ACUCCUACGGGAGGCAGCAGUGGGGAAUCUUAGACAAUGGGGGCAACCCUGAUCUAGCGAUGCCGCGUGAGUGAUGAAGGUCUUAGGAUCGUAAAGCUCUUUCGCCAAGGAUGAUAAUGACAGUACUUGGUAAAGAAACCCCGGCUAACUCCGUGCCAGCAGCCGCGGUAAUACGAAGGGGGUUAGCGUUGUUCGGAAUUACUGGGCGUAAAGCGCGCGUAGGCGGCUUAUUAAGUCAGAUGUGAAAUCCCCGGGCUCAACCUGGGAACUGCAUCUGAUACUGGUAAGCUAGAGUUUUGGAGAGGGAAGUAGAAUUUCAGGUGUAGCGGUGAAAUGCAUAGAGAUCUGAAGGAAUACCAGUGGCGAAGGCGACUUCCUGGCCAAAAACUGACGCUGAGGUGCGAAAGCGUGGGUAGCAAACGGGAUUAGAUACCCCGGUAGUCCACGCCGUAAACGAUGUCAACUAGUCGUUGGACCCCUUGAGGGUUUAGUGACGAAGCUAACGCGAUAAGUUGACCGCCUGGGGAGUACGGUCGCAAGAUUAAAACUCAAAGGAAUAGACGGGGACCCGCACAAGUGGUGGAGCAUGUGGUUUAAUUCGAAGAUACGCGAAGAACCUUACCUAGCCUUGACAUAUAUUAGAACUCACCAGAGAUGGAGAGGUGCCUUCGGGAGCUUUUAUACAGGUGCUGCACGGCUGUCGUCAGCUCGUGUCGUGAGAUGUUGGGUUAAGUCCCGCAACGAGCGCAACCCUCGUCACUAGUUACUAACGGUUCGGCCGAGGACUCUAGUGAGACUGCCUUCGUAAGGAGGAGGAAGGUGAGGACGACGUCAAGUCAUCAUGGCCCUUACGGCUAGGGCAACACACGUGCUACAAUGGCCAGGACAGUGAGACGCGAUACC